GCAGUCAGCCAGACGACCGCCGGCUCUCGUACUGGCGUCGGGCCAAAGGCGAGGGCGGGAGGAAAGUCCGGACUCCGAAGGGCAGUGCGCCGGGUAACGCCCGGGCAGGGAAACCUGACGGACCAGUGGCACAGAAAACACACAGCCUACCGGCGUCAGCCGCGGCAAUGGUGAAAAGGUGCGGUAAGAGCGCACCGCGUCCGUGGCAACACGGAUGGCAGGCAAAACCCCGCACGGAGCAAGACCAAAUAGGGUGGCGCUCGAGGACGGCCCGUCCGAAGCCACCGGGUAGGUCGCUCGAGCCCGCGAGCAAUCGCGGGACUAGAGGAAUGGUCGUUACCCAGAGCNNNNNNNNNUUCGGCUUAUCGGAUGGCUGCGACG
rnacentral:RNase_P_RNA from 2 species